CUCUUCGUCAAUCCAAUGAGUGCCGAAGCCAAAACUCCUAUGAGGCUGUGAAGGAUCUCCCAUGUGCCAUGCCUGGAGCAAGCGAAGGUGAAGUUCGACGGCAAGAUUGUCGGGGCUGAAACCAUGCAAGAGAACGGAAGCCAUGAGAAGGGAGAGUCGAGAAAGGUCGGCGAAAGGGAAGAUUUUUUGGGAAGGACAAAAGGAUAUGGCGAGGAUGGUGGACAAUAGUUGGAUGAUAUGAAUCGAUGGUAGGAGAGUAGGGGAAUUAAGGGGCGGCUGAGCCGCAGGGCUUGGGGAAUCACGCACAUCAUUGCAAGGUGGUUGAAAGGAAGCAGAGAAGACAGUCGGCAGCGAUAAGAAGAAGGGCGGCUCAGCCGUAGGGGUUGGGGAAUCACGCACAUCAGUGCAAGGUGGUUGACUGGAAGCUGAAAAGACAGUCGGUAGGGAUAAGAAGAAGGUUCAGGAACGGCGAAGCGACAGAUCAGCCCGAAACAAAUUGGAAGAAUAGGAUGGAUUUGCUACUGGAGGAGGAAAAGUUGGAGAGUGAGGGAGAAAUCUAAUAAGAUGGGGAAAAGGGGUGUUUGAACGGGAUGGAUUUGGAACUGGAAGAGGAAAAGUUGGAGAGUGAGGGAGAAAUCUAAUAAGAUGAAAAAGAGGGGUGUUU
rnacentral:lncRNA from 1 species